UACGGGGGGUGCGAGCGUUGUCCGGAAUCACUGGGCGUAAAGGGCGCGUAGGUGGCCUGAUAAGGGUGUGGUGAAAGUCCGGGGCUUAACCCCGGAUCGUGCCGUGCCGACUGUUAGGCGUAGAGUGCUGUGAGGGGCAGGCGGAAUUCCGGGUGUAGCGGUGGAAUGCGUAGAGAUCCGGAGGAAGACCGGUGGCGAAGGCGGCCUGCUGGGCAGAUACGUGACACUGAGGCGCGACAGCGUGGGGAGCAAACAGGG
rnacentral:rRNA from 1 species